rnacentral:misc_RNA from 1 species
GAUGAAGAACGUAGCGAAAUGCGAUAAGUAGUGUGAAUUGCAGAAUUCAGUGAAUCAUCGAAUCUUUGAACGCACAUUGCGCCCUUUGGUAUUCCUUGGGGCAUGCCUGUUCGAGCGUCAUUUAAACCUUCAAGCUAAGCUUGGUGUUGGGUGACUGUCCGCUUCACGGCGGACUCGCCUCAAAAUUAUUGGCGGCCGGUACAUUGGCUUCGAGCGCAGCAGAAACGCGAACUCGGGCCCGUCGUAUUGGCUCCCAGAAGCUAUCUUCACAAUUUUGACCUCGGAUCAGGUAGGGAUACCCGCUGAACUUAAGCAUAUCAAUAAGCGGAGGA